rnacentral:siRNA from 1 species
GGAUGGUCAUUCUCCAGAGGUGGA